rnacentral:rRNA from 1 species
AAGACCUUGCACUUUUGGAGCGGCCGAUGUCUGAUUAGCUAGUUGGUGGGGUAAAGGCCUACCAAAGCUUCGAUCAGUAGCUGGUCUGAGAGGACGGCCAGCCACACUGGGACUGAGACACGGCCCAGACUCCUACGGGAGGCAGCAGUGGGGAAUUUUGGACAAUGGGCGCAAGCCUGAUCCAGCCAUGCCGCGUGAGUGAAGAAGGCCUUCGGGUUGUAAAGCCCUUUCAGCCGGGAAGAAAAGGCUGCGACUAAUAAUCGCAGUUCAUGACGGUACCGGAAGAAGAAGCACCGGCUAACUACGUGCCAGCAGCCGCGGUAAUACGUAGGGUGCGAGCGUUAAUCGGAAUUACUGGGCGUAAAGGGUGCGCAGGCGGUUUUGUAAGUCAGAUGUGAAAUCCCCGGGCUUAACCUGGGAACU